rnacentral:lncRNA from 1 species
GUUGAGAAAAAUAAAUAUAUACAAAAUGUACAUGAACACCCAAAAAUGUGAAAGUUAGUAUUUAACUCUUUUUGCUUAAAUACUGAAAAAAAUUCUGGAAACCCCUUACUUAUUUUUUACUCUUUUUGCUUAAAAUACUGUUAAAAUUUAUAUUUAACAUGGGUGACGAAUUGACUAAAUCAGGUGUCGAUUUAACCAGGUGCUGAUUUGUCCAGGUGCCAAUUUAACCAGGUGCCGGUUUGACUAGAAUUCUUUGACAAAUGUUUGAAAUUACCUGAGUUUCAUUAGACCUUUGAUAACAGUAACAAAAAGAUUAUUUACUUAAUAUUUUGUGGGAGAAAGGGGGUUCAGACUAUGUGGUAUCAGGUCUGUUCGCGCCCAAUACACUUUCGCACCCUACACGUUCGCACCUCGCACGUUCGCACCCAAGGUCCGUUUGCACUCUACUCAUUCGCGCCCAAUUUUAAUUCAAAUUCAAGUUGAAUAAUUGGAAAAUCAUGAUUGUUGUUUUAAAUUGCUUUGGUGUAAAUACUGAAUGUAUUUAUAGCUUGGUAUGAGUAAAACAUUGAAGAUUUUUAAGGAAAAACACAAAAGAUAAUUGUUUUUAACAGCUUGGUCCCUUUGAUCUGAAACAACGAAACAAUAAAAUAUAGGAACCAAAAUAUAGCAAUCCACUAUUAUAACCAAAACAUGAUAAAAUCUAUUCAACACACAGAAAAAAACAUAGUCAGAAUCUCACUUCAUUUUGAAAGAAGUCAAUGAAACAAAGUUAUAGCAAUACACUAACAAAACAUGAUUAAGAGUUAUUCAACACAAAAUAAAACGUUGACAAAAUACCACUUUAUUUAGAAAGGAUUAUUAUAAUUUUUAACAAUACGCUAUCUAAAACAUGAUUAAGAUUUAUUCAACACAAAAAAAAAUGCUGUCUCACUUUAUUUU